GCUUCUGUGAAUCAUGUGCACAUAACAAAGUAUAAGUUUUGAUAGAUUCAGAUAAAAUCCUUAAAAAAACUUGCUGAUUUUUUCCAAGAUUAUGCACCCAAAUAUCCGCUGGAAUACUUGAACAUUUUAUGUGUCCUCUAGUAGAUGCUUCAACUUGGCAAAGGCUGUAUGAAAAGAGUUUAACAACAUUAUGCAAUUUACCGUUCACUGGAAUAAAAUCAUCGGAGUAUAAAGAAGAAUUAAGAUCUAUUACAUCGUCAAGCCUCCGAUAAAGCUCAAAUAUAUCAUCUGAAAUAGCGAGACGUUCAUCGGCAGGAACUUCAUUAUUUACAACACUCUUAAAAUGGACAUGAUCCAAUACGCUCGAUUGGAAUAAGUUAUCCGCAUUUUCUUCAACGUUAUCACUGGAAUUAUCAGCACCAGUAUUGAGGGUAUAUAUAUCUUUCAACGAGUCUCGUAAGGUGUGUUGUAAUACAUCAAGCAGAUUUAAAUUGUACGACUGUGUGUGCUCAGAAGGGGAGGUUU